GCUUAGGUAGUUCAAUGGUUAGAACAGUUGCCUCAUAUGCAUCUAAUAUAGGUUCAAUUCCUAUCUUAAGCA
rnacentral:tRNA from 1 species